AUGAAAUGUUCUUCUAUGCUUUCUAUUCCUUCUAUCACACACAUAUGCAAUCUGGUGAAAAAAAAGCAGCAACUCAACAUUGUCCUGAAAGACUUGUGCAUCCCAAAGGACUCAUUGCCUAUUAGGACCCCACAGCUUGGUUCUCAAUCUCAAGUGUGGUUCCAAAACUCUGGAAUCUCUCACCAAACACCUUAUAAAAAAUUCCAGGAUAAAAUUGCUGUGCUUCCUUUGAAAGGAAUCAAAGAACUCAAAACUGUGAUUAAGUAUUAG